ACCUUAGGCUUUUAGCCCAGCUGCCAAGAGCAAAUGUUGUUCUCUUGCGAUACCUUUUUGGAGUGCUAUACAACAUUGAGCAACAUUCGUCAUCCAAUCAGAUGAAAGCUUAUAAUUUAUCCGUUUGUAUAGCCCCAUGCGUUCUUUACCCACCUGAUUCCGAAAGCUUGGAAUUGGAAGACAACAUGAUAAAAAAGACUCCGGUCGGAAGACUGUGAAAAGCCAUUUUUUCAGAGACAGGGCCUUUUGGUGGGGCUCCGGCACUUCCCAGCACACCCAGUGCACAGCCCCACCUUCCGCAAAGCCAGGACAGCUCUUUGGAGUUUCCCUCAUGGAUGUGUGUGAUAAAGACAACUUGCCCUUCCCAAUUCUGGGUAUGCUUUCCUUUAUUAAUGAAAAAGGGCCCCUCACAGAAGGCAUAUUCAGAAACUCAGCCAAUAUAAAAUCCUGCCAUGUCCUAAAGGAAAAACUGAAUUCUGGGGUCAAAGUGAACCCAUACAGCGAAUCUGUUCAUGUGGUCGCAUCCGUCUUAAAGGUAGGGAAGGUUCUAGCAGUAUCUACACACGAGUAACUGAAGCUAUGACUGGUGUCCUUCAUCAAGACUGCUCAAGAACAAUAAUGGGCAUAAUAGAUUAAGAACCUGACAAGCUGAAAAACGCUUAACAAAAGCAAAAUUUAAGGAAGCGACUUUAGGAGUUAAGCCCCAUGUGUUAGAAAUACUUUCUCUUUUCACUACACACCGCCCUCCCCACCUUCACUCCUAAAGACUCCAUGCAAAAUACUAAUACUGAAAUGACUACUAGUCAUGAUAAUAAAUUUCAAAAUACGCACCGAUACAUACACAGUUUACCCAUGAAAACAUCCUCACCACCCUCCUAAUGAAGGCAAACUUUCCAAAAGAAAUACAACAGGGAAAGAAUUUAAUCCAUCCACCUUGGCACUUAUGAACAGCUCUGAACAACCCUAUGUUAACAUAGUAAUUACUACAGUCAUAGAAUGUCAGUCGCAUAUGGUCUUCCCUUGUCCCCCGUUAAUGUUCGAAGAUGUGAUCAAUAGCAAGGUCCAGAAAUGACUUAGGUAACCACUCCUACACUGGGGCCAUAGUGAUAUCCAGUAGUAAUAUACAUACAGGCAUCAGGA